GUUUACAAAGAUAUGGGAGAGUACGAAAAAGCAAAAAAUUUUUAUGAACGAGCGAUGAAAACUGAAACAAAAACAUUUGGAACUGACCAUGUUAAUUUUGCGGUAACGUACAGCUAUCUGGGUUUGGUUUACAAAGAUAUGGGAGAGGACGAAAAA